AGGAAGGCAGUAGGGUGACAUGUCAUAAGUUUCGACAAUGUAAACACAAAGAAGUAUCUCCUUUUUGAGAGUGAAAAGUUUAAAAGGAAGGCAGUAGGAUGACAUGUCAUAAGUUUCGACAAGGUAAAGACAAAGAAGUAUCUCCUUUUUGAGAGUGAAAAGGUUAAAAGGAAGGCAGUAGGAUGACAUGUCAUAAGUUUCGACAAGGUA